GACGAACGCUGGCGGCGUGCCUAACACAUGCAAGUCGAACGGAAAGGCCCUGCUUUUGUGGGGUGCUCGAGUGGCGAACGGGUGAGUAACACGUGAGUAACCUGCCCUUGACUUUGGGAUAACUUCAGGAAACUGGGGCUAAUACCGGAUAGGAGCUCCUGCUGCAUGGUGGGGGUUGGAAAGUUUCGGCGGUUGGGGAUGGACUCGCGGCUUAUCAGCUUGUUGGUGGGGUAGUGGCUUACCAAGGCUUUGACGGGUAGCCGGCCUGAGAGGUUGACCGGCCACAUUGGGACUGAGAUACGGCCCAGACUCCUACGGGAGGCAGCAGUGGGGAAUAUUGCACAAUGGGCGGAAGCCUGAUGCAGCAACGCCGCGUGCGGGAUGACGGCCUUCGGGUUGUAAACCGCUUUCGCCUGUGACGAAGCGUGAGUGACGGUAAUGGGUAAAGAAGCACCGGCUAACUACGUG
rnacentral:rRNA from 1 species